UACGAAGGGUGCAAGCGUUACUCGGAAUUACUGGGCGUAAAGGGUGCGUAGGUGGUCGUUUAAGUCCCGUUGUGAAAUCCCUGGGCUCAACCUGGGAAUGGCAGUGGAUACUGGACGGCUAGAAUGCGGUAGAGGGUAGUGGAAUUCCCCGGUGUAGCAGUGAAAUGCGUAGAGAUCGGGAGGAACACCAGUGGCGAAGGCGGCUACCUGGACCAGCAUUGACACUCAAGCACGAAAGCGUGGGGAGCAAACAGG
rnacentral:rRNA from 1 species